rnacentral:rRNA from 1 species
ACUCAAAGGAAUAGACGGGGGCCCGCACAAGCAGCGGAGCAUGUGGUUUAAUUCGAGGCAACGCGAAGAACCUUACCUAGACUUGACAUCUCCUGAAUUACCCUUAAUCGGGGAAGCCCUUCGGGGCAGGAAGACAGGUGGUGCAUGGUUGUCGUCAGCUCGUGUCGUGAGAUGUUGGGUUAAGUCCCGCAACGAGCGCAACCCUUAUUGUCAGUUGCUACCAUUAAGUUGAGCACUCUGGCAAGACUGCCCGGGUUAACCGGGAGGAAGGUGGGGAUGACGUCAAAUCAUCAUGCCCCUUACGUCUAGGGCUACACACGUGCUACAAUGGCAGGUACAAAGAGAAGCGAUCCCGCGAGGAGGAGCAAAUCUCAUAAAACCUGCCCCAGUUCAGAUUGCAGGCUGAAACUCGCCUGCAUGAAGUUGGAGUUGCUAGUAAUCGCGAAUCAGCAUGUCGCGGUGAAUACGUUCCCGGGCCUUGUACACACCGCCCGU